GGACUUAGCCAUGCAUGCCUCAGAAUCACUGCAUUGCAGGAAUCUGCGCAUGGCUCAUUACAUCAGACGUAAUCUGCCGCAAAAAUGUUGCGGUCUCCGCAAGAUUGGAUAACUUGGCGAAACGCCAAGCUAAUACAUGAACCAACGGGACGCUCUCUGUUUUGGCGGUGGGGUAUCCCCUCACCGUUAUGGGACGUCCGGCGAAUGAAUGAAAGUAAAACCAGCGCCUUCACAGGCAGUAACACCCAGAAGUGUUGACUCAAUUCAUUCCGUGCGAAAGCUGGGCCAUCUGGUCCGGCGUCUUUUGACGAACAACUGCCCUAUCAGCCAGUGAUGGCCGUGUAGUGGACUGCCAUGGCGUUGACGGGAGCGGGGGAUUAGGGUUCGAUUCCGGAGAGGGAGCCUGAGAAAUAGCUACCACUUCUACGGAGGGCAGCAGGCGCGCAAAUUGCCCAAUGUCAAAAAAAAAGAUGAGGCAGCGAAAAGAAAUAGAGCCGACAGUGCAUUUUAUUGCAUUGUCGUUUUCAAUGGGGGAUAUUUAAACCCAUCCAAUAUCGAGUAACAAUUGGAGGACAAGUCUGGUGCCAGCACCCGCGGUAAUUCCAGCUC
rnacentral:rRNA from 1 species